rnacentral:rRNA from 1 species
AAUUCGAAGCAACGCGAAGAACCUUACCAGGCCUUGACAUGCAGAGAACUUUCCGAGAGAUGGAUUGGUGCCUUCGGGAACUCUGACACAGGUGCUGCAUGGCUGUCGUCAGCGUCGUGUCGUGAGAUGUUCGGGUUAAGUCCCGUAACGAGCGCAACCCUUGUCCUUAGUUACCAGCACGUUAUGGUGGGCACUCUAAGGAGACUGCCGGUGGACAAACCGGAGGAAGGUGGGGAUGACGUCAAGUCAUCAUGGCCCUUACGGCCUGGGCUACACACGUGCUACAAUGGUCGGGUACAAAGGGUUGCCAAGCCGCGAGGUGGAGCUAAUCCCAUAAAACCGAUCGUAGUCCGGAUCGCAGUCUGCAACUCGACUGCGUGAAGUCGGAAUCGCUAGUAAUCGUGAAUCAGAAUGUCACGGUGAAUACGUUCCCGGGCCUU